UACAGUCAUAUCACAUUGACACACCGAUUCCCGUACGAUCACCGAAGUUAAGCAACGUCGGCCUGGUCAGUAACGAGAUGGGGUGACCGCUUGAGAAUACCAGGUGUUGUAAG